CUAACCAGGAUUCCCCUAGUAACGGCGAGUGAAGAGGGAAGAGCCCAGCACCGAAGCCUGCGGUAGAUUUACUGUUAGGCAAUGUGGUGUUUGGGUCGGCUCGCAGGAUUGCCACUCCAUCCGAAGUCCAGCAUUGAGUAUGGCACACUGGAUUUGGCCCAGAGAGGGUGAAAGGCCCGUACGGGUGGAGGUUUCAGACAAGUGAGGCAGUUCUCUAGGCCGGCCUUAGAGUCGGGUUGUUUGGGAAUGCAGCCCAAAGCGGGUGGUAAACUCCAUCCAAGGCUAAAUACUAGCACGAGUCCGAUAGCAAA
rnacentral:rRNA from 1 species